UCCUACGGGGGGCAGCAGUGAGGAAUAUUGGUCAAUGGGCGCUAGCCUGAACCAGCCAAGUAGCGUGAAGGAUGACUGCCCUAUGGGUUGUAAACUUCUUUUAUAUGGGAAUAAAGUGCAGUAUGUAUACUGCUUUGCAUGUACCUUAUGAAUAAGGAUCGGCUAACUCCGUGCCAGCAGCCGCGGUAAUACGGAGGAUGCGAGCGUUAUCCGGAUUUAUUGGGUUUAAAGGGUGCGCAGGCGGUCUGUUAAGUCAGCGGUCAAAGCCCGGGGCUCAACCCCGGCCCGCCGUUGAAACUGGCAGG
rnacentral:rRNA from 1 species